rnacentral:snoRNA from 1 species
GGUACUUUUCUCUCAUGAGCUGUGAGGGGUCCCUGUUCUUCUCAGCUAAGGUUGGAGGCCAAGAUCAGCCCUUGAGGACGGUCAUCAGGACUACCUUGUUUUCCUGCCUCAGACAGUG